rnacentral:rRNA from 1 species
GACGAACGCUGGCGGCGUGCUCAACACAUGCUAGUCGAGCGGUAAGGCCCUUUCGGGGGUACACGAGCGGCGAACGGGUGAGUAACACGUGGGUGACCUGCCCUCAGCUCUGGGAUAAGCCUGGGAAACCGGGUCUAAUACUGGAUAUUGACUCCAUGACGCAUGUUGUGGGGUGGAAAGCCCUUGUGCGGCUGAGGAUGGGCCGCGGCCUAUCAGCUUGUUGGUGGGGUGAUGGCCUACCAA